rnacentral:rRNA from 1 species
AACUUUCAACAACGGAUCUCUUGGUUCUGGCAUCGAUGAAGAACGCAGCAAAAUGCGAUAAGUAAUGUGAAUUGCAGAAUUCAGUGAAUCAUCGAAUCUUUGGACGCACAUUGCGCCCGCCAGUAUUCUGGCGGGCAUGCCUGUUCGAGCGUCAUUU